rnacentral:rRNA from 1 species
AUUGAACGCUGGCGGCAUGCCUUACACAUGCAAGUCGAACGGCAGCGGACCUUCGGGUGCCGGCGAGUGGCGAACGGGUGAGUAAUAUAUCGGGAACGUACCUUUCAGUGGGGGAGUAACGUAGCGAAAGUUAACGCUAAUACCGCAUAUUCUGUGAGCAGGAAAGCNGGGGAGUCGCAAGACCUUGCGCUGAUUGAGCGGCCGAUAUCAGAUUAGCUAGUUGGUGAGGUAAAGGCUCACCAAGGCGACGAUCUGUAGCGGGUCUGAGAGGAUGAUCCGCCACACUGGAACUGAGACACGGUCCAGACUCCUACGGGAGGCAGCAGUGGGGAAUUUUGGACAAUGGGCGCAAGCCUGAUCCAGCCAUGCCGCGUGAGUGAAGAAGGGCCUUCGG